rnacentral:rRNA from 1 species
UACAUAGGGGGCAAGCGUUAUCCGGAUUUACUGGGUGUAAAGGGUGCGUAGGCGGCAGUAUAAGUCAGAUGUGAAAACCCGGGGCUCAACCCCGGGACUGCAUUUGAAACUAUACAGCUAGAGUACAGGAGAGGUAAGUGGAAUUCCUAGUGUAGCGGUGAAAUGCGUAGAUAUUAGGAAGAACACCAGUGGCGAAGGCGACUUACUGGACUGACACUGACGCUGAGGCACGAAAGCGUGGGGAGCGAAC